UACGGAGGGGACUAGCGUUGUUCGGAAUUACUGGGCGUAAAGCGCACGUAGGCGGAUUGUUAAGUCAGGGGUGAAAUCCCGAGGCUCAACCUCGGAACUGCCUUUGAUACUGGCAAUCUCGAGUCCGGAAGAGGUGAGUGGAAUUCCUAGUGUAGAGGUGAAAUUCGUAGAUAUUAGGAAGAACACCAGUGGCGAAGGCGGCUCACUGGCCCGUUACCGACGCUCAGGUGCGAAAGCGUGGGGAGCAAACAGG
rnacentral:rRNA from 1 species